rnacentral:rRNA from 1 species
CAAUAGCGUAUAUUAAAGUUGUUGCAGUUAAAAAGCUCGUAGUUGGAUUUCUGAAUUGAAUAUCCGGUCCGCUCGUCUCUGAUGAGUGCGUACUUAUGGAUAUUGGAUUCAUUUUUUGUGAGGACAUUUAUCUGUCAUUAAGUUGAUGGAUUUAUAGACUUGCAUCGUUUACUGUGAAAAAAUUAGAGUGUUUAAAGCAGGCGUUCGCCCAUUUGAAUACAUUAGCAUGGAAUAAUAAGAUAUGACUUUGGUGGUCUAUUUUGUUGGUUUGCACACCAGAGUAAUGAUUAAUAGGGACAGUUGGGGGUAUUCAUAUUUCAACGUCAGAGGUGAAAUUCUUAGAUCGUUGAAAGAUGACCUUAGGCGAAAGCAUUUACCAUGGAUGUUCUCAUUAA